GCUGCUCAGCAAACACAAAAGAUGCGCCUUGUGAUUAGCCAUUCCGACAACAAGCGCUAGAGGCCCUUCUGGUCAGUCUCACAGUUUGUAUCAAGUCUGAUAAUGCCUUUGCAGAUGACUUAGUGCUAGUUAGUAUGGGCUGGGACAUAGUUCAAGUAUCAGCGACUGACUGGUGCUACUGAAAGGGAAGGUCGGAAGGAUAUGUCAUGAGCAGGUUACAGCAGAGGUUAACCUCCACCGAUGGAUGAGUACAUACAGUGGAUGUGCCAUCCUCCUAGGAAGUUGGGUCUCCUCUAAGUCGGCUUGGAUCGAAACGGCAGAGAUAUCCCAUCGUUAACUUACCAAACCCAUGCAAUAGACAGGAAAAAACACAACAGUGAAUGCGUGUGAUAAACGAAAAACAGACAAAUGAAGGAUCAAAUGUUCAGCCUUAUAAUAUUUCAGCCUCAUUCAUGAUCAAUCUUAACUUUGGAGAAAUGUCACUUCGAUGACACUGAAUGGAUGGACUGUCAGCAAAUUGGCUUGGAAAUAUGGUUACCUUGACUAGUACGGAGACAAAGACCUGCGCAAGCAGCUGUGACAGUGUUCCAGCGCUGAUGACCUCCCAGCAGCUGGAGGUAUACAUCAUCCAAUCCAACCGACUGAAAAGGGAAGUUUGCGCUGAUCAGUUAGAAGAUUUGAAAAAACAGAUGGGAGCCUAUCACAUUCAGACUAAGUAGGUUACGUCGCGAUGAAACUCACCAAUGGUACAUCAUUUAAAAUCUCGAUGCUGAUGUAACAGCAUUGAUAUAUGGCUUUCCAUUAUCCCAACUUAUGCAUUUUGUAAAGUUCUUCAUGCCAGGGUCACAAGCAGAUAUCACGGGAGAUUGCAUCGUCAAGAAUGCCCUGUAACGAAAAAUUUGCUCAAUCUCUGCUCAAAAUGGUCCACCAAUCACAGUCUGACCAAAAAAAAUGUUUGAUAUCCAGGUUACAUGUUGUCUAGAACCUAAACCAAGAUGGAAUAAAAAAAAAACCCUGAAACGUAGUAUCAUUGAUUUGGACCAUGUAUGCUAUGUCAAGCAAUUCAAAUAAGAGUGAAGAUUUAAGAACAAAGUUGCAGCACAAAUUCUAAUGAUUGGAAAGGAUUAAAGAAGCUAAAUCAGAGAAAACUGGAAGAGGGAUGGUUCCUAAUACUGUUACAGUGGUGCUCUUUGCAUGCAGUGCAAUGUAACAAGGUAAGGUGCCACUGAUCAGAUAAUAACAAAGUAAAAUGGCCACCAAAAAAAAUUGAGCUACUUCACAUUCAGCAACUAACAUGGGUUAUCCGUUGGUGGAACCUUUUGGAAAAAAAAUAGUGCAAAAAAAAGGAAGUGUUUGUUACCUUGGAUUAGCAGCGUCGGAACUUAACUAUGGGUAUUGUUCCUUGCAGCUUCCGGCACUGCUUCUGUAGCUUCUCGUUGCUAUAACUGACAUCUAGCAUUUGAAGUGAAUUCGGGAGGCUGCCCUCAUGUAGCGACCUGAUAGCAGGACAGAAGCGGAUCUGUAAUAUCUUCAGUGAACUUGGAAGGCUUCCCUUUGGUAGCGACCGGAAGGCACGGCAACGAAUUAUGUGUAGUUCUGUCAGCGAACUUGGGAGGGUGCCCUUGGGCAGUGACCGGAUGGCAUCACAGCUCCAGAUUUGUAAUUCCACCAGGGAACAUGGGAGGGUGCCCUUCGGCAGAGACUGUAUGGCCUUGCAGUUGCUGAUUUGUAAUACUACCAGUGAACUUGGAAGUCCGCCCUUGGGUAGGGACCGAAAGCAGUCACAGAACCGGAUCUCUAAUCUCUUGAGGUUGGGAAGCCCACUUAACCCCUCUGGAAGGGACUGCAGCCUCGAGUACCACCCAAUAUGAAGAACCUGGAGGGAGGUGAGCAUCAGCAGGGCCUCCGAUUGCUCCAUUGUGAAGUGAUCCAAGUCGUCAUUCUUACCAAGCCAUAGCUCGGAGAGAGAGGAAGAGAAGUGGCCACCGAUGGGCACAGCAACGGCGCCCCCUGCUUCCUCAUCCGUUUCGAGCGCCGGCAGCCUGGAGCUAUGUUGGGGAAGAACUUGUUCGCACAUCCGCGAAGGCUCUGGGACAUCAAGUAAGUUGUGCGCCCCAUAGAUUACUAAUUCCUUGAGACGACCCUGGGCGAGGAGAUGCCAUAGGUCCUCAGAUCUUAGACCCCCACAAUCAUAUAGGUCCAAUUCGGUCAGAUUUGUGAGAGGAGCCAGCGUCAGCAUGCCAUCCUUCACACCCUCAAGCACGAGGGACUGCAGGGAGGUCGGGAAAGGGCAGUAAAAGGAGGGGAGCAAACUGGAGGAUAGAAGCAUGGGGCAAUCAUCUAUAAACAGUGAUCUCAGAGAGCUCUGAUUUUGGAGCAACUCCUUCAAUUGGAGGGGCAUGGGCAGCUGUCCUCCUACUGCAGCUUCUAUUUCCUCUGCUCCGCCUGCCUGCUUGUUAUCACACCUCCGUAGUUGCAACAUUGAGAGGUUAGUGAAAUAAGAGAUUAGCUGUACCAAUUCCUUCAAAGUGGCACCACAAUCUGAUAUCUGGAGCUGUUCAACUGGGAACUCGAAUGGGGAAUCAUUCUCACCUUCAGUUGGCCACAGGACACUACUAAAGUCACUUAUCUGAAGGGUCUUCAGAGAAUUUAGCAGCUGCAGGUGAUGUAGAGGCACUUGUGAGCAUCCAAAAAUCCUGAACUCCUUUAUUUCACUCAGAUUAGUAAAGGCCAAUACAUUCCAGAGUUCACAAUCAAGAGCAUCCUUUUUGAACACUACAUGAACUUUCUGCUCAUUUUUCAUAUAAUCUAUUUCCUGAGUACUUGUGCCCACUUCACACAGUCUAGCUUUGGACAGAGAACUACUCCAGGGAAUUGGUGGCACUGACACUAGCUUCUCACAUCUUGAAAUAUAGAUCUGCUGUAGGAUGGGAAACAUGUGCGGAGAUGGCAGCUCUGUAAGUUCAACACAAUCCUUAAUUGUGAGUACCUCUAGCGUAGAGAAAGGAUCAUCUGCACUCCAUCUUUUCAGAGUUGCUAUGUUGACAAGUUCUAGCCUCUUCAGAUUCUGAAAGAUUUGGCCAGCGAUGCUUGGUUGGUCUUCACCAACCAUCAAGAACUCUCCUAGCAGAGGUGGAAGACUUUUCCACGCUACACCUUCAAGGCAAAGGCAUUCCAAAUUCUUAACAGAGUGGUCUGUACAUAGCCAAGUAGGGUAUGUGUAACCUCCAUGUCCUCUAAUGCACACUUCUUGAAGAUUACUGUGUGGUUUAAGGCAUUCAAGAACAUCUUCUUCUUUUUUGGGGUCCUUGUUAGGUUGGUUUCCAUCCCAAUGUAACAGUAAUCGAUUUAAGUGGUGCAUGUAGACUAACUUGGUUUUUUCCACUUCUGCUGUUGCUUCAACCUUUUCAAGAUUAUGAAUCUCCAGUGACCCUUGGAGCUGUAACAAUUGCCUUAAUUGAUUCAGUUCAAACCCAUGUUUUUCUCUUUUGACCUCAAACCUCCUUAGCUCUUGUAUAGAUUUUAGUUUCCCAACCUCAGAAAUUUCAGAAUGACAAGAAUCAUAUGGCACAAGAAAAUGACGAAUUUUCACUAGGUUACUCAAUUCUCUUGUAGAACUAAAAUUAUUGCAUUGUUUUACAUCUAGGACCAACAAGUUAUAAAAUCUAGAUAUACUGCCAACUAGACUUGUUUCAUUUAAUACAUAACCCUUGAUCCUUAAGUAACGAAGAUGGACAAGUUGUGAAAAACUAGGCAACAAAAGCUCCACAUCAUAAGAUGCUCCAGAUAAGAAAAUGACAUGAAGGGCUUUUGCUUCCCGAAACAUAUCACUAAGUAUUUGACAAAAGCUUCCAUGGUGAUCUCCAAAUAACAUCAAAGUAUGUAGGUUUCCAGCUUUCAAUUUUUUACCAAGUGUAUCAAGGUCGCUCUUACGAUUUUCAAAUGUUGUUCUGUCUUGGACAUCUGCAUCAUUUAUGAUGAUGGACAUGUGAUGUAUUGAUGUGGGAAUUUGUAUUGACCAGACAUCAGACCCUUUUAUGCUAAGACAUUCAUGUGCUGCAACAUAUCUUGCCAAGUCAUGGAGUAGGUCAUGGAUCACAUAAUUUGUGUGGCCAUCCUCUUUUUUUUCUUCUUGGAAGAAACCGUGACUAACCAAGUCACAUAAAUAACAUAGUCCAGUGUCUUCGAUUCUCUUGUUUUGAUCAUUGGGGCCCAACAACCCUAGUCCAAUCCACAAGUGGAUUAACUCUUCCCUUCCAAAUUCAUAAUCUUCAGGGAACAAGGCACAGUGAGAAAAACACUGUUGUAGAUGGAAAGGAAGAUAGUUAUAGCUGAGCUUUAAUGCUGGCAUAAUGUCAUCCUCAUUGGCCUGAUAUUCCCAUUCUUUACUCUCAAAUACUCUUCUCCAAUGGUCCACGGUAAGUUCAGAUUUUAGCAAUCUACCAACAGUUUUUACUGCAAGAGGAAAACCUUUCAAUUUCUUCACUAUUUCCCACCCAACGGCAUGCAAAUUAGUAUGCUCUUCCCAUGGUUGUUUUUCAUCAAAAACACAUGCUUUGAAGAAAUGCAUGCAUUCUUCGUCAUUUAAGCGUUCCAAUCUUAUUGGACAGCCUAUUGUUGUAACCAAUUGUGCCACCUUUGGGAUUCUUGUUGUGACUAUUACCAUAUUACCUUUUGUUUGUACUUUCUUAAAUGGGGCUAGUAUUUUUUUCCAAUCAUCUUCAUGAUAUGUCCACAUGUCAUCCAAGACAAGAAAAAACUGUUUGGACUGUAAUCUUUUUUCAAUUAACUCUUCAACACUCUCAUUCCCAUUUUCAUUGUCAAGUUUAGGAAUUUGUUUCACAAUUUCUUGUGCCAACCUAUUUGCAUUGAAAUUUUGAGAGACACAUACCCAUAACAUGACUUGGAAGUGGCACUUUACUUCUUGAUAAAUGUGUUGUGUGAGUGUUGUCUUUCCAAGACCCCCUGGACCAACUAUUGAAAGCACAGUGAGAUCACUGCCCCGAUAUUUAGAGGUUAUUCCAUCUAUGAUAUCCUUUUUCACUUUAUCCCUCCCAUAUAACUUUGGCUCUAUGAUUUGUGGGGUCGUUGUUCUGGUUGUUUGGUUCAAUGUAGCACCUUGAAGGCCUAUGGUGCCUUUGGAGGCUAUGGUUCCCAACAGCUCUAGAUCAAGAAUAGUGGAGACCUUUGCACAUAACGGCUUGAGAUCAUCUACAAGUUGCGCCAGCCGAUUGGACAUAGCCAUCCUAUUGAACUUGGGCUUUGGUUUUCUAUGAUGCUGGCACAAAAAAGGAGCACAGGAGCAUGAUGGGAGCUUCAGCUUACUGACGACGGCCCCAGCCGUGUGGCGAACAUUGAGGACGAGGCCCUGGACAAGACCCUGAGCAUCAGCAUCAUCAAUGGCCUCAUAGGUCCCUUGGAGCUCGUCCUGGACACGGAAGUACUCCAGCUCAUCCAGCGCAUCAUCCGCGUCAUACGCUUUCUGGCGGAGCUCCAGGAGCAGGUGCCCCAGUGCGGGGUUAUGGACGCCCCUGCCACGGGCAUUGUUCAGCAUCCCCUGCGCGUACAAGAGCUCCAGCUUGAGGGCACGGAUGUUCGGGCCUAGCUCCGAACAGGCCGCCCACGACUCCAAGAGGCCAUCGGAGACAGGCCCCAGCGCCUUGCCCACCGCCCAGCGUGCCGCACCAAUGGCGAUCUCCAUUGAUUAUCCUCGGCUCCUCACUUGAAAAGGUGUUCAGGCAAUGAUGGUGACGAUGCUAGCUGCAUACAGGGAGUCGCUCAUAUUGUUACUACUAGCUAUGGAUAUAUAUGAGUAGUGUCAUUGCCCUACUACCCUUUGUCCGAUCCACAAAAGCAAUGCAAGGUCAAAGAGAUGAAGCAACUUACAUACGCAGGGUCGGCGAGAGUUCGAAUGUCUGGCCGGAGCUGCACAGUGAAGGUAGUCGAUUGGAAAGAUUGGCAGAUUGACGGUGAGGAUGUUAGCUGCAGAGAAUCCAUCGUAUUGUUAGUUGUUACUAGUAGCUAUGGAUAAGAGUACUGUAUGACGGUGAGGAUGUUAGCAAUGCAAGGUCAAAAAGAUGAAAAUGCUUAUACACAUACGCAAGGUCAGCACAAGCGAGGGGGAGCGCCUGGCCAGAUCGAGCUGCACUAGACGUGGACGUAGAUAGACAACAACGCCAAGUAGUGCUGAAGAGUCAAAUAUGCAAGAGCGGGCGGAUUGCGAGGUCAGACGGAACUGAUGUGUGUGAAGGACGAGAGGAGACCUGGAAGAAAGAAAUAGAAGCCCGCAGGCUGGGGCUGGGAGGUGGCCCUAUGCCUAGGAUGAUUAAUAUUUAAUUGCCAUUAGUUUAGCAGAAAGCAGAGGCAACACUUGGCUUUAAGAUACUAUCGUGCAAGCUAAGUAAGGUACUAAUCCACACCAAAAGAGAAAGCAGAAGAAUAAAACAACCUUAGUGUUAGUUAAUUUCAGACUACCUUGCUUAUUGGCCCCUGGGGCAGUGGCAGAGCCAAGAAUAUACACUAAAUUGACAAUAUUCGUUCCCUUGUGCAAACAUAUGAGACCACGCAUGCUGCUUAAUUACUUUAUUACUGCUUUGCUGCAGAACAAGACGUGCUGUCCAGGGUAACACCACAGCAUCUCUCUUUAGUUAGCCUGGAAAUCUGUGUUGGUUGGGUAUGGCAUAAUAUUACUUCUCUGCAGGCGAAAGAAGGAGCGAUGGGACAGCAAAGCAUCGUGGUAAGACAAAGCUUUAGCAAGCUAAGAGAUUUUGCGACAAGCAUGGAUGCCAUGGAACUUGUAAAAAGGACACUCCGCUUAAGAUCUUGCGCACCUAAAUGACGGAUUGCAGGCACACAGAGUCAAAGCGUUUCAGAUAAUCACAUCUGCCAAGAAUACUUUAGACAGGACGGACUGGUGCCGGACUAAUGGCGCGCGUCAUUACCUUGGGAGUUGGGGGACCUCUGGUUCAUGUUCAUGUACCCCCAAAUUGUAACCGGUUUUUUGAAGUACACAAAGCCCUACUGUAUUGUCUGCACUUAAAACUCAAUGGACGGGGCGCCGGGCGAGGGAAGGUGAAAAGCACUCUAUGUCUCUAUAUGGUAGACGUAGAUAAGACCUAAUUAAGUGCCGCUAGUUUAGCACAGGAAGCCAGAGACAAAAGUUGGUUGAAGAUAUUGGUUGUGCCAAGUUAAGUAUGGUUGUGCUACUAAUUAAUCCCCACCCGAAAAAAAAUCAAUAAUGGCACGAGCAGCUAGCAAGAAUGAGAGUAUGAAACAAUGCCCAGCCUUACUGAUUGUGAUUUAUACCUUGCUUGGCCCCGAGCAGCCGGCGCCGGUGCAGGAGCUUGCAAGGGAGGCGCAGCAGCAACGCCAUUUGGGGGAUUGGUUUUGCGGUUUUGCCCCCGCGCCUGCCACCCUGCCGGCUGCCCCACGCCCCGCCGACCGGCCGAGCCGCCGGUGGCGUGCCCGUGACUGGCCCCAUCCCGACUCGCCUACGCCUGCUACCCGUGGCGUGCCUCUUGCCGUCGUCACGGACCCGCCGCCGCUUCCCCGGCGGCCAUGGCUCAUUGGCGGCUAGCUCAUUGGGAAUUGGGGAACUACGAGUGAGCCGAGCCGUGAAAAGGCCUGCUCGGCUAGUCUGAUGCGUAGUGGGCAUGUUGGGCCGCCAUACAAUACAACCCAGAAAAGAAAGAAAAACGAGUCCUUUUCAUCACCAUUUAAAAAACUAUUCAUUCACAAAGUCCCAUUUUCCUCCCUUGUAUAUGAAUGAAAAUAUGAUUUUGAUCUCCUUCAACCUUUAAAAACGUUCUUGCGCCCUCUGAUUGCAAAAGUCCUUUAAAAUAAAACUGUGUUUCUUCCUCUGCGUUCCUUCUGAAAAGGCACUGAUGUCUUUUUUAAAGAAACGUUGAAAAUCUUCAAGGUUUUCCUGAUCGACUAGUCUGAUGACGCCAAGCCUGCAUUACUCCAAAUCAUCAGGUUUCAGUUAAUUCAAGUCCAUUCCACCCGGGCUUGCCUGAAAGGCUGCAAUGCAUCAGUGACAGCAAAUUCUUAUUGUCAUUGACGUUUACAGCAUGUUUUUUUACCAAUAUAUGUUAGAGUUAUGGACUUGAGCAGAUCUUUUAAUUUGGAGAAAACUUAAAGCAAAUUUUGAUGCACAUAAUCACAUAGACUGGCCAUACACAUCCAUCAACUACAGAUUGAUGGAAUCAUGAAUCAUCUAUCCAUGUACCAUUUGGGAGGAUUGGCUGGAUUAGACCGUUUCCAUCCACCUCCAAACUUUCCACUGUAUAAGGAUGAUGGAUACAAGUUAUCUUUACAAUCUCUAGAGAUUACACAAGAAGCUGAAAAGCAUCAUUGUAAAACCAAGAGCUAACAGGAGGUAACUAUUUCACCGAAACAAUGUCACACUGCUAAAUCUGGCAGCCUGAAGUUGCUGAUCCAUUCCGCAUACCGCUGAAUAAUGGUAAACCCAAAAACAGAGAAAACUUCUCAAACAUCAUCUCCAUUCAGCUGCUACUGACACACCAGUCUUCUCCGUAGCUGCUACUGAAGCAAAAGAAUUUUUUUUAACUUUUUUGAGCUGCCUCUUUGGAGGAAGGAGGCAUGUAAACUCUUCUUUGGAAGUUAAGAAGACAUCCUGGAAAAAGAAUAAUGGAUUUUGUUUCUCACCCUGACCAUCCUAUAGCAGUUGAUCCAGCCUCAACCCCUCAACCAUUCAAAUCUUCACACACCAAAUCCAAAUACUGAACAUGUAUGUUUCAAGAUAAUGAAACAGAACAGCUAUCACAGAAAUGAACCGUGCUACUAAUUAAGUAACAAAUGGAAUACGUAAGGUUUGGUUAGCCUCACUAUCCAGCACAAAUCAAUAGCCAAGAAGAAAUCUCUACAAUACAAUAACCAGCUAGAAAUAUUCAGUUUAACUUUCAGAGUGCAAUGUAUGCAAUUAACAAGCUUACACCUCGGCGAACAUAAUGUGUUGACUGUUGACUUCUCACAAAAGACAAUCUACUUUCCACAGAAUUUCAACAUGCUCAAUUGCUCAUUGGUGACCAGUGCUCACUCGAAUUAGGUUUCAUUUCUUUCCCAACAAACAAAUUAAAGUAUUGCUCCCAGUAACCUCGUAGAUGUUAUACAUGGACGUGGCUUCAAAAGAAAGAGGUUACACUUGUUAUCCCUGCAGAAGAGGGCACGCCAGCGAUCCACUCGAUCACUGUAUCAAAAACUUGUGCAAAAUAAAAAGCAAUUAAUUCCAGGAGUUAACUACCUUCACACAAAUGGAAAAGGUAGUUUCGAUAUUUUCUUCGAUAUUCAUACCCACUGGAACCAAAGUGUUAAGCCCCACUUAUAGCACACUUUCAUCUUGAUUUUGAAGGCCUUGCUUCAUCAGGUUUGAGUUUUGUAUUUCAUGGACUUGCAGCAAUAGCUUCUGGUUCCUCUUCUGUAGCGACUAAUCUCAGUGCUGCAGAAAAAAACAAAUAUCAAAAACAAGGUCUGCUGAUUGCGGAAUUGAUAAUCCAUCAGUGAACAUUUAAUUACCAACCAAUCACAUGUUCCAACAAGUUGCUACAACUAAAAAAGCAACAAUACAUCCUAUAAUCUCAGCUCCAUCAGUUAAUAAGUUGCAUAGAUCAUUAACAGAAGAUAGACUUAGAGCUCCUGAGGAACCUCCCUUUGUUUAACAUAAUAGCAUCAUCAAUAUACUCUAUCUUAUUAACUGACAUUCAACCGAUCAAGGGUAAGAAAUUAGAAAUGUGCUGCAUUGAACAAAGGCACAAGGUAGACAUCUAUAGUGUAGAGUAACAACUUUAGUGCUAUUUUUUCAGCCUAAACUUUUCAACACCCAUCAUGUGUCUAAUAUAGAUGUAAAAUAGAUGAAGAAAUUCCUAGAUGUGUAUUGGCCAUUGUUGGGCUGUCCCAGGCCAUGUGCCAGGUGGGCGACAGCAUAGGACCGGCAGAAACAUGGAGGCUGAAAAUUUAACCUUUUUACUACUUAGUAUUAUUAGUUAUUAGCAAACCUGAUCAUGCCUCCAGUUAAUGUUUUCUUUUUCUUAUUAUGCGACAACAUUCCAGAAAAAACACUGUGGUUUCCCUCCUUCCUCUCAAUCCCUUUCCAUAUCUGUCCUGUUGCAGACCAAUAGUUUCCCAUUUUUUAUGAGAAAAAAAAUAACAGAUCUACUCCAAAUUCUCCUCCCUCUCUUAUUAAUUUGUGAUGUCAUUAGUUUGAUACUUUGAAGUCGUAGAAGUUUAUUGACUAAAUUACCCUAAUGUGGAAAGUUCGGGGCCUAAAUUAGAGUUUGGCACAUGCCCCCAAACUUUCAGUCAUGACCUGCAUGUGUAGCUAGUGUCAGAUUGUCUGUAACCAAAAUAAAAGGUAUUGGUAAGCAUAACAAAGUUCAUGUCUAUCUUAUCCUAUAAAUUUGCUGAACACAUAUAGUAUCGUACUAUCCAUAUUUUCGUUACUGAAAAUUUACAUGUUCCCAACAUUGUCAAAUCAUAAACCAAGCAAAGUUGUACCGGAGUGCAGAGGGACAUAGCAAAAUUGUACCUGGAGUGCAGAAGCUCGUGUAGGGAACAACACAGGGAACACGACCAAGCAAGCCAUCUUCAUCACAUUCCCCCUUGUAUACCUUCCGCACCCGACCAGACUUUAGAUCAAAACUGAAUAGCACACCAUCAUUCAUUCCCACGAAAAAGACAUCAACACCAUGCACAAAGCCAAGGAAGCCAUAUGAUGGAGCCGGCAUCGACUGGAAGCAACUUCUGAAGCUCAAUGACUCUAGUCCGUGUCCAUCCCACGCCUCCGUUUGGAUUCACCUCCAUUGACCAGAGCAAGAGUCUGGCGGCCAUAUCCACUCUUGCAAAUCCCAGCCCACCACCCUCCAUCUCCAUGAGCGCAAUAGCACAAUUGGAGGCUCGAGGUAAGUGAAUCACAGAUGUCUCCCUUGUGACCAAAUCAAAACCAAGGACCCUACUGCCAUUAUCAAUCGAGAAGUAGAGUGUGUUCCCCACAAGGGCAGUGGGCACUAGAUCGACGCUGCACAUGGGGACCAGAGUCGGCUCGCUCCAGCAGGAUGCCGCCGAUGAGUAGACGCGCAAGGACCAGCGCUGGCCCUGGCUGCAGCUGUAGUACUUGGUGACAAAGCGAACGACGACGAAGGCUGUACCAUCGGCCGUGGGCUCGCGGAGCACAGUCGCGUACCACUCGUCCCGUUCACAUUCGUCCAGGACUGGUAUCUCCCACCGCUCGCCCGUUGUCGGGUCCCAGAUGACGAGGGCGUCCACCUCGUCGUCACCCAGGACGAAGUGGAGGACGACGAGGCCGUGGCGGGCGUCGAGGACGACGCAGUCGCGGACCGGCGGCGGAAAGAGGAGGUGGGGACGAACCGGGCGAACAAGGGGUUGCAGAGGAAGCCGAGCAGUGGUGCUGUGCGGUGUAACUCCUUGAACCGGCGGCGGAAGCUGCGGGCACAGACGAUGCGGCACCAGGGCUUGCAGACGAGCGCGGCGCGGACGAGGCUCACGGGAUCGGCCGGUGGGAGGCGGAGGAGGAUCUCUUCGACGACGUCGGCCGGCAGCUCCAUACUGCUACAGAUCCGGGGAGAGGAGCGGCGCUGCCUGGUGCGAAUUGGCGCGUUUAGAGUAGACUAGUGAAGGUCCAAGUGCUCGUUUUGUUUGAGCCCCACUUCCUGUACCUGUAGCAAAUGGGGCAGGAAAAUUAUAAGAGCAAGGAAGUUUAAGAAAACAACACAAUGUCCACACUUUUGAUAAUGCUUUUAUGUGGAAAAACUCUCAAAAUGAGGAGUAAAAAACCAUGGGACCAUCACGGUCCACUGCCAAACUUUCCAUUACAUGAGGAUGAUGAAUACCAUGUACUCUUUACAAUAUCUACAGAUAAUAUUAGAUCUGAAAACCAUCAUAAUAAAACCCUUGCACGACCAAACAUAACCACGAAUGUAACCUUGAGCUAACAGGAGUUAACCACUUCACCAACAUAAGGUCAUGCCGUUGAAUCCUGAAACAGUCAAUCCAUUUUGCACGCUGCUGAACAAUGGCAACACAAACUAAAAAAGUCUCUCUCAAACGUGAUGUUCUUCUAGCACAGUACACAAGUUUUUCCACAGCUGCGGCUCAAGUAAAACAUGUUUUACUGAACUUCUUUUCAAGUCUAUCUUUGGAGCAACGUGGCAUCUAAACUUGUCCGUGCAAAGGUGUUUUUCUCCCUUUUGAACCCCAGUAUCUUGAACAUGACUUAAGACCAUGCCAGUUUCUAGGCUCAUUGAUGCUGCUGCAACUGCAAUGGAACUAUGAAAUGACUGCACCUCUACCAGUUGCAGCAUCGCUACUCACUUGGUACAAAGAACAUCCAUAGUUCAGAACAAUCCCUUUCCUAAAACAGAAGACAAAUUGAAUAAUUGAAGUCACUUAUUUGCAUAAUGUCACGGACAUAAUAUUAAUCUCUAUGUAUCCUAAUGUCACCACAUUGACAGAGAAGCAAAUACUAUUCAUUUUCAAAAAUUGUAAAAUAUCUAUAUUUUCAUUAUCUUCAAAUUCAGUUAUGAGUGUUCAUUUUAUAUUAUCAGAAAAAUCAGUAUGUUUCAUAGAGGCUUCCAACAUUAAGACCUAUUUGUAUAAUUAUGUACUGUAAUAUUGUAUGGGCAUGGCUAUUUAAAAGGUCAAAAAGGGGGCAGCAGCCAGAUAUAUCUAAAUAAUGAAACAAGCUACAACGUCAUAUCAGUAUGGCUCAGUGACUGACUGACGCUCCUAACAUAACCAGAGAGAGAGAGAGAGAGAGAGUUUCAAAUGUUCAGCCUUCUAAUAUUUUAGCCCCAUUCAUUAGCAAGCUUCAAGUAAGGAAACAAAUUUUACAUGCUAUUAACACUGGAAAAAUGUCACUUCAAUGAAACUGGAUGGAUGGAGUGUCAGCAAAUUGGCUUGGAACUAAUAAAAUUUCUAUGUCUAAUAAAAUUUACAGGCACAACUUUAUUUUUGUCGUCUUUACAAAAAACAAAAAAAAUGAGAGAAAGGAGGUGAGAUACUGAGAGAGAUAUUUUGCAGAAGUAGCGCCUCAAAAGCCAGCAGUCUUGUAGGAGUACAAAACAGCGGGCUGCUGUGCUGCCGCCCCACACACGACCUGCGAACCCCAGGAUGAGGCUAUGCCGAUCCCAUCAGCAGAGACGAUGCCUGCCAUGCUUGCCUGCCGUCCACGCGUGUGUCACAUGCAGUUGACCAUCAAAAGAUGCACACCACACACCACAGUAACGCCGAAAGAUCCAUCUCAGAAUCUAUCCAUCCAUCAAGGGAAAGAGAGGCAUUCGAGAGCCGGCUGGUACAGCUUCAGCAUUAGCACCCAGCCACCCACCACUCCCUACUACCGCCUACCUCAGUCUCAGUGCAACUUCCACUUUGCACUCAUCAACCAGUGUCUCUGUAUGAAUGGCGUGAAAACGAAAUGCCCGGCCCCUCUUCCUCAACGCCGGCGCCCCAGCUGUUGCAGUACUGGCAGCGGCAAGACGAAGGGAUGUAGCCGGCCGGCGACGCAGACAAGGCGAGCGCGCCGGCCCUGCAACAGCCACUUCUAGUCUUGUAUGCUCGCGAACUCCCAUUGUCGGACGCCCAACAGUACGCAUCUCCUUGCUCUCCUAUUCCUGACACAAGGCCUUCCUUGCUGAGCGAUGGACCGGCCAAACUGGCCAACCUGUUAAUGCGCUCUGGGGUUUCAGCGCCGCUGAGAGAUGCCGCCGAUGGAUGUCCACACACUCGAUGCACCUGGCCGCGUGCUGCGGCUAUCCAUGAUUCUUUCAGGGACGAGGUUGCUGGCGUCGCGCAGGAGGUUCCUCUAGGGAUGCAAUGCGAUGCUCGCCUCCGUCAGUAGCACGGCAUCAGGCAGGCAUUCCACCUGCAGCAAGUUUCAGAGAAUAAUGUGGUAUCAAUUUCAGCAAUAGCUUCCACUUACGUGCCUGCCUGCCUGCCUGUCUGCCUGGAUUAAUUUCAAAUGCUCAGCAAGAGAUGACUAGUCCCACUACCUGAGUGAAGCUGCUAGCAAUCGCAAGAUGCUCCUUGUCAAUAUCCAUGCUGACAACAAGCGCUGGAAGCCUGUUAUGGUCUGACGGUUUCUUUGACUUCUAUACGUCUACGGCCUCUGCAGAUGCCCCCAUAUGUGCUGAGACAUAGUUCAAGCAUCAGCGACAACUGACGCUACUAAGAAGGCGAGGGAUGUCAAUAGCAGGUUAUAGCAGAGGUUAACCUCCAUCCACGAGUACAGUGGAUGCGCCCCGAUUGAGUACUGACGCUUCCUCUGCUGUCAGAAACUGGCUCCUCCGAGGAAGUUGAGUCUUCCUCGCGCGGGUGGUUGCUCUGGCAAGCGGCGAUGCCAUGGCGAUGCUCGUUUCCAUCAGUAGCAUGAUGUCAGGCGUUUAACCUGCAGCAAGUUUUAGAGAAAAUGUGGCAUCAACUUCUGCAUUAACUUUCAAUCAUACGCCGGCAAAACCAAGGGAUGGCUAGUCCCACUCAGUACCUGAGACAAGCUGCUCAGCAAACACAAAAGAUGCUCCUUGUCAUUAGCCAUUCCAACAACAAGCGCUAGAGGCCCUUCUGGUCUGUCUCACAGUUUGUAUCACAUCUGAUAAUGCCUUUGCAGAUGACUUAGUGCUAGUAAGUAUGGGCUGGGACAUAGUUCAAGCAUCAGCGACUGACUGGUCCUACUGAAAGGGAAGGUCGGAAGGAUAUGUCAUGAGCAGGUUACAGCAGAGGUUAACCUCCACCGAUGGAUGAGUACAUACAGUGGAUGUGCCAUCCUCCCAGGAAGUUGGGUCUCCUCUAAGUCGGCUUGGAUCGAAA
rnacentral:lncRNA from 1 species